AGAGAGCUGCUUUUUCAUGACAUAUACCACUAACAACGUUUGGAUAUUGCUCUCUAUUUCGGAGUUUCUCUCGGUUUGUGGGCUCAUCUAAAGCUGAGUAACAGGAGAAGAGUCUGGUGGAGCAACAGAGGAACAAUUUCAGCCAUUUGGACUCAGCUCAGCCACUACAGAGGAAACAAUGACUUCAACACAAAAGGACCAACAUGGAGCAAGAAGUCAGCGCUCUCAGGAGGCCGACAAACCUCCCAGAAGAAAG